rnacentral:rRNA from 1 species
UGUGCUCUUCCGAUCUCAGGACGAACGCUGGCGGCGUGCCUAACACAUGCAAGUCGAACGGAGUUGAAAGGAGCUUGCUUUUUUCAACUCAGUGGCGGACGGGUGAGUAACGCGUGAGUAACCUGCCUUUCAGAGGGGGAUAACGUUCUGAAAAGAACGCUAAUACCGCAUAAGAUUGUAGCUUCGCAUGGAGCAGCAAUCAAAGGAGCAAUCCGCUGAAAGAUGGACUCGCGUCCGAUUAGAUAGUUGGCGGGGUAACGGCCCACCAAGUCGACGAUCGGUAGCCGGACUGAGAGGUUGAUCGGCCACAUUGGGACUGAGACACGGCCCAGACUCCUACGGGAGGCAGCAGUGGGGAAUAUUGCACAAUGGAGGAAACUCUGAUGCAGCGAUGCCGCGUGAGGGAAGAAGGUUUUCGGAUUGUAAACCUCUGUCUUCAGGGACGAUAAUGACGGUACCUGAGGAGGAAGCUCCGGCUAACUACGUGCCAGCAGCCGCGGUAAUACGUAGGGAGCAAGCGUUGUCCGGAUUUACUGGGUGUAAAGGGUGCGUAGGCGGAUUGGCAAGUCAGAAGUGAAAUCCAUGGGCUUAACCCAUGAACUGCUUUUGAAACUGUUAGUCUUGAGUGAAGUAGAGGUAGGCGGAAUUCCCGGUGUAGCGGUGAAAUGCGUAGAGAUCGGGAGGAACACCAGUGGCGAAGGCGGCCUACUGGGCUUUAACUGACGCUGAGGCACGAAAGUGUGGGUAGCAAACAGGAUUAGAUACCCUGGUAGUCCACACUGUAAACG